rnacentral:rRNA from 1 species
GUCCACGCCGUAAACGAUGGGUACUAGGCGUCGGGGGGAGCGACCCCUUCGGUGCCGUCGCUAACGCAGUAAGUACCCCGCCUGGGGGAGUACGGCCGCAAGGCUGAAACUCAAAGGAAUUGACGGGGGCCCGCACAAGCGGUGGAGCAUGUGGUUUAAUUCGAAGCAACGCGAAGAACCUUACCUGGGCUUGACAUGCACGGGAAAGCCGGUGGAAACAUCGGUUCCUCUUCGGAGUCCGUGCACAGGUGCUGCAUGGCUGUCGU